rnacentral:rRNA from 1 species
GCAAAGGAUAGCUAUAGAGUGUGAUUGUGGCUCACGAAAAGGAACUUGGUCCUUGUGGAUUAUCGGCGGACGGGUGAGUAACACGUGGGUAACCUACCUAUAAGACUGGAAUAACUUCGGGAAACCGGAGCUAAUGCCGGAUAACAUAUAGAACCGCAUGGUUCUAUAGUGAAAGAUGGUUUUGCUAUCACUUAUAGAUGGACCCGCGCCGUAUUAGCUAGUUGGUAAGGUAAAGGCUUACCAAGGCGACGAUACGUAGCCGACCUGAGAGGGUGAUCGGCCACACUGGAACUGAGACACGGUCCAGACUCCUACGGGAGGCAGCAGUAGGGAAUCUUCCGCAAUGGGCGAAAGCCUGACGGAGCAACGCCGCGUGAGUGAUGAAGGUUUUCGGAUCGUAAAACUCUGUUAUUAGGGAAGAACAAAUGCGUAAGUAACUGUGCGCAUCUUGACGGUACCUAAUCAGAAAGCCACGGCUAACUACGUGCCAGCAGCCGCGGUAAUACGUAGGUGGCAAGCGUUAUCCGGAAUUAUUGGGCGUAAAGCGCGCGUAGGCGGUUUCUUAAGUCUGAUGUGAAAGCCCACGGCUCAACCGUGGAGGGUCAUUGGAAACUGGGAAACUUGAGUGCAGAAGAGGAAAGUGGAAUUCCAUGUGUAGCGGUGAAAUGCGCAGAGAUAUGGAGGAACACCAGUGGCGAAGGCGACUUUCUGGUCUGUAACUGACGCUGAUGUGCGAAAGCGUGGGGAUCAAACAGGAUUAGAUACCCUGGUAGUCCACGCCGUAAACGAUGAGUGCUAAGUGUUAGGGGGUUUCCGCCCCUUAGUGCUGCAGCUAACGCAUUAAGCACUCCGCCUGGGGAGUACGACCGCAAGGUUGAAACUCAAAGGAAUUGACGGGGGACCCGCACAAGCGGUGGAGCAUGUGGUUUAAUUCGAAGCAACGCGAAGAACCUUACCAAAUCUUGACAUCCUUUGAAAACUCUAGAGAUAGAGCCUUCCCC